GUGGGGAAUAUUGCACAAUGGGGGAAACCCUGAUGCAGCCAUGCCGCGUGUGUGAAGAAGGCCUUCGGGUUGUAAAGCACUUUCAGUGGGGAGGAAGGGUUGAUGUCUAAUACGCAUCAACAUUGACGUUACCCACAGAAGAAGCACCGGCUAACUCCGUGCCAGCAGCCGCGGUAAUACGGAGGGUGCAAGCGUUAAUCGGAAUAACUGGGCGUAAAGCGCACGCAGGCGGUUAGAUAAGUCAGAUGUGAAAUCCCCGGGCUCAACCUGGGAACUGCAUUUGAAACUGUCUGACUAGAGUCUUGUAGAGGGGGGUAGAAUUCCAGGUGUAGCGGUGAAAUGCGUAGAGAUCUGGAGGAAUACCGGUGGCGAAGGCGGCCCCCUGGACAAAGACUGACGCUCAGGUGCGAAAGCGUGGGGAGCAAACAGGAUUAGAUACCCGGGUAGUCC
rnacentral:rRNA from 1 species